rnacentral:rRNA from 1 species
CCUACGGGUGACAGCAGUGAGGAAUAUUGGUCAAUGGCCGGAAGGCUGAACCAGCCAUGCCGCGUGAAGGUCAGUGCCCUAUGGGCGUUAAACUUCUUUUGUGCGGGAGCAAUAAUGGUCACGUGUGGCCAGACGAGAGUACCGUACGAAUAAGCAUCGGCUAACUCAGUGCCAGUAGCCGCGGUAAUACGGGGGAGGCAAGCGUUAUCCGGAUUUAUUGGGGUUAAAGGGUGCGUAGGCUGUGAGGUAAGGCAGCGGUGAAAUGCCCACGCUCAACGGGGUGAAGUGCCAUUGAUACUGCCUUGCUGGAAUGCGGAUGCCGUGGGAGGAAUGUGUGGUGUAGCGGUGAAAUGCAUAGAUAUCACACAGAACACCGAUUGCGAAGGCAUCUCACGAAUCCGCGAUUGACGCUGGUGCACGAAAGCGUGGGUAUCAAACAGGAUUAGAUACCCGGGUAGUC